rnacentral:rRNA from 1 species
GACGUAGGGCGCGAGCGUUGUCCGGAUUUAUUGGGCGUAAAGAGCUCGUAGGCGGUUUGUCGCGUCUGCUGUGAAAACGCGAGGCUCAACCUCGCGCCUGCAGUGGGUACGGGCAGACUAGAGUGUGGUAGGGGAGAUUGGAAUUCCUGGUGUAGCGGUGGAAUGCGCAGAUAUCAGGAGGAACACCGAUGGCGAAGGCAGAUCUCUGGGCCAUUACUGACGCUGAGGAGCGAAAGCGUGGGGAGCGAACAGG